rnacentral:rRNA from 1 species
CGUACCAAGGUAGCUGUAGCCCUUAGAACAGCGAGUGAACGUGUAACGGGGUAGCUAUAGGCCUUAGUAACGGCGAGUGAAACUGUAACCACAGGGCUCGUAGUGAACUUUGGGCUGGAUCAUUA